UGAGGAAUAUUGGUCAAUGGACGGAAGUCUGAACCAGCCAUGCCGCGUGCAGGAAGACGGCUCUAUGAGUUGUAAACUGCUUUUGUACGAGGGUAAUAGCAUUCACGUGUGAGUGUUUGAAAGUAUCGUACGAAUAAGGAUCGGCUAACUCCGUGCCAGCAGCCGCGGUAAUACGGAGGAUCCGAGCGUUAUCCGGAUUUAUUGGGUUUAAAGGGUGCGUAGGCGGAUUGGUAAGUUAGAGGUGAAAUUCCAUUGCUCAACGAUGGACUUGCCUCUGAUACUGUCAGUCUAGAGUGUAAUUGAAGGAGGCGGAAUGUGUGGUGUAGCGGUGAAAUGCUUAGAGAUCACACAGAACACCGAUUGCGAAGGCAGCUUUCUAAGUUAUAACUGACGCUGAUGCACGAAAGCGUGGGGAUCAAACA
rnacentral:rRNA from 1 species